GAUGAACGCUAGCGACAGGCUUAACACAUGCAAGUCGAGGGGCAGCAUAGAAGUAGCAAUACUUUGGUGGCGACCGGCGCACGGGUGAGUAACGCGUAUGCAACCUACCUAUCAGAGGGGAAUAACCCGGCGAAAGUCGGACUAAUACCGCAUAAAACAGGGGCACCGCAUGGUGGUAUUUGUUAAAGAAAUUCGCUGAUAGAUGGGCAUGCGUUCCAUUAGGUUGUUGGUGAGGUAACGGCUCACCAAGCCGACGAUGGAUAGGGGAACUGAGAGGUUGGUCCCCCACACUGGUACUGAGACACGGACCAGACUCCUACGGGAGGCAGCAGUGAGGAAUAUUGGUCAAUGGGCGGGAGCCUGAACCAGCCAAGUCGCGUGAAGGAAGAAGGAUCUAUGGUUCGUAAACUUCUUUUGCAGGGGAAUAAAGUGCGGGGCGUGUCCUGUUUUGUAUGUACCCUGAGAAUAAGGAUCGGCCAACUCCGUGCCAGCAGCCGCCGUAAUAC
rnacentral:rRNA from 1 species